rnacentral:lncRNA from 1 species
GCGCGUCCUUACAAAAACCACAAUGGCGAAGUGACCGGGGUUUGGGACAUUGUCGACGAAAUUUCAGCAGACAAUGGCUCCGAAAUAUCCUCGAGUGAAACAUCCUCCUCGUCCUCAUCAGAAGAAAGUGAUGAUGAAUUAGUGGCGACCAAAUACUUCACUACAUCGAAGCCACUAGGCACCCCCAAGCCGAACUUCAGUAAUGCAGGACUGGAUGGCAACCAACCUCCACUUACCCAAAGCCACAACCUGUGAACUUCACGGCACCGCCAGAAUUUCAGUCAUUUGUCACUUCUACAGAUAUUUCAACUCUUUUUCUGUGGAGCAGUUUGGCAAUUGCCAUGAGGGAGGCCAACCGAUAUGCAAAUCAGAUACUAUCUGCAGAAUCCGCCAACUAAGUUCAUUGUACUGGGAUUCCAACGGAUGUUCCUGAAAUGAUAUGGUCUUUGUCGCACUUCUGCUGUCGAUGGGCAUCAACAAAAGGCCUAGCUACGCAAUGUCCUGGUACACGUGCGAGGUUCUUCGAAGUCCUUUGUAUACGUCGACAAAGUCUCGCAACCGAUUUAUGGCACUCCUUCGAUUUCUCCACCUUGCCGACAACACAGCAGAUGACUCUCCCCGUGACAAACUGUCUAAAGUUCGUGCGCUACUGGACAUUGUGGUUUCGUUGUUUCGUAGCAUCUAUAAGCCCGGACGAAACCUUUCUCGGUUUUAAACAGUACAUACCACGCAAGUCGGCCUAAUAUAGCUUGAAAUGUUUUUCCUUGAACGAGUCUCAAACCGGUUAAACAUGUGAGUGGAAGGUGUUUACUGGAUCCAAGGCUCCAUCAGACCAAAUCAUCUCGCACUCUGUUGCGUACGCUGAAGCCAACAAUCCACCCAACCUUACAGCAUCAUGCCAAGUUGUCGUUGACCUACAAAAAAAAAACAAGGGACAUGUUGUUUUCAUGGACUAUUGGUACACUGGCCCCGCUCUUGUGCACAAGUAGUCCCAGCUAGGGUUUGGAGCUCGUGGAACUGUGCGCUAUACCACACAAGGCAUUCCAGAUAAUACAAACCCCUAAGAAGGUCCCUAUGAACCGACAUGAUCUACCGCAGUUCUUCUCUAAAGCGAGGCAACUAUGUGUUGUUUGGUAGGACGCCAAAAAAGUAUAACAGUUCUGACUAAUUAUGGCGACUGCAAAAGUGACGCUAAACACAUUCGUUGCAAAAGAAGUUCCACCGGACGUCGUGCAAUCCAAAGACCUGCCGUCGUCAAUGAUUAUAGUAAGUACAUGGGCGGAAGUGACUUAGCAUCACAAAUGUCUCAGUACUACACGCAUCAUCAUAGAUCCCUGAAAUGGUGGAAACGCGUUUUCUUUGCAGUUCUUGACAUCUGUUUAUCCAGGAAGAAGUAGACAAGGCCAAAAACGAAACUGUGUUGUUUGCAAUACGAGAACCAACAUAAACAGACUCGUAUGAUUUGUAAGAAUUGUCAGAACCAAUGUGUCCAAUGCCACGCUUUGAAACAUUUCAGUGUGCGUUAACAUAGACUCGGGUAGUUUAGAUCGCGCCCCCCUUCAACCACUCUAAUGUUGCAAUGGAUCGCCAUGAGCGCGCACCAGCCUUUAACGCAACAUUGGACGGGGGCAGGGCCACGGGAUGGGGAGGGUGGGAGGCAAAGGCCUUCAUGAAAUCUGAGCGGAAACUCAGGUGCCAUAAAUGUGGUGCCAUCUCCGUCCGAUUAGUCUUGUUGUAGACAAGAAUAAAUGUAGCACACCACCAAAUAAAAGAGGUUUAUUCCUGUGAUUUCAUCAA